rnacentral:tRNA from 1 species
AAUAGAAUGCCUGAAUAAAGGAUUAUUUUGAUAGAAUAAAUUAUGUGUGUUACACUUCUAUUG